rnacentral:tRNA from 2 species
CCGACCUUAGUUCAGUUGGUAGAGCGGAGGACUGUAGAUCCUUAGGUCGCUGGUUCGAAUCCGGCAGGUCGGA